rnacentral:rRNA from 1 species
AAGCGUGCACGGUGGAUGCCUUGGCAGUCAGAGGCGAUGAAAGACGUGACAGCCUGCGAAAAGCGUCGGGGAGGCGGCAAUAUCCUGUGAUCCGGCGAUAUCUGAAUGGGGAAACCCACUUGUCAUAAGACAGGUAUCGUAAAUUUAUUUACGAGGCAAACCGGGAGAAGUGAAACAUCUCAGUAACCCGAGGAAAAGACAUCAAUAGAGAUUCCCCUAGUAGCGGCGAGCGAACGGGGAUCAGGCCAGUGUCUCUUCAAACGUCAGCGGAACGAUCUGGAAAGAUCGGCCAUAGCGGGUGACAGCCCCGUACGCGAAAGCAAUUGAAGAGAACUCGAGUAGGGCG